ensembl:lncRNA
CUGCAGGGAUGAGGACAGUUCAGUUUCAGAGCUGUAUCUCCUUGGUAUGACUGUUCCUGAUGGAUUGUGAACAGAAUUGUAUUGUGAAAUAUAUGCGCUUAUUGGAGUUGCUGUUAACUUCAUAAUUGCUCUGUAAUUACUAAAGAGAGAGAAUCUUGCGCUUCUGACAGCCAGUCUCACAGGAGGAGGAUGGCUUCUCCCACCACACACUGCCUCACAGUGCUCUUGUCCUGGCCUGACCUGACUGUCAUGAAGCUUGCUAUGGAUUUUGUACCUGCGCUCUGACUGUUGGGCUGCAUCAGAACUUCUCUGCUCAAGAGAACCCGUUUGCAUCGCAGCUGUGAGCAAGUCCAGCUUCUCUUGUGACACACAGAAAACUGUGAUUCAGCUCAGGUAGCUCUCUUCGUUACAUGAUGACAAAAGGGUGAUGUGUUGCUGGCCCGCUGGGAGGCCACCCACGGCCCUCAGUGUCCCAGCAUGUUCCUGUGCAUGUGAACAUCCCUGAGGCUGCUUCCUGGAGAUGUCUGUCACAUCACACGGGCCAGUUCCACUACGUGCCAGUGAUCCAUGCUAUGGCUUUGGUAUUUCACUUCUGCUGGACGUACUUUCCAGUGCAUCCUGGGAGCAUGCUUGUAUUGCCGUAACUGCAUCCCAUGGGCACCCCAAAUCAUUAAUCACCAGUGUGCUCUUUUCCUCUUCUGCUGGUUCCAGACGAGUUCCCAGUUCAUAGCCAGUUGGAGUUUGAUAUAUCAUCCAAUGAUUGCUCUUUGAGUCAUUGGAAGCUCCUACGAAAAGAAGAAAAACAAAUUUACAAGCUGCUGUGGUAGUGUCGUAGUCUAACUGAGCAUCCACGGCAUCAGCUGGAGAACUGUCCUGAUGGUGCUCUUGGAAUUUGGGUCAGACUACAUAAUGCUCCAAACAAGCUGUGAAGAAAGCUGCAGGAAGAUCUGAGAGGCAUCCCCAUGAGGACAGGGAUGGAAGGAGCUGGAAGGACAGCUCACCCCAGCUUGUGUCACAACAGCAGAGAUCAUGUUUGCAUCUGCAAGAGAAGCUGCAGUCAACAACAUGGUGCCAACAGUCUCCAGGUGAAUGCAGCUGGUGUGCUUCUGUUUCACUGAACUUUUAUCUACCAUAUAAUCAUGAAUGGGAGUCCCUCUACAAAGUGGGUCUUCACCCCACUAUUUGCAUUCUAUUUCUCUGUCUAGUGGCACUGUGGCUAUUUUCUUUGCUCCCUGAACUGUCCAGCUUUUCCUUCCUUUUUCCCUUCCUAGCCCCUUCCCUCUUCAUUUCUAUUCCAGUAUGUUUUCACAAGAUGACCUACUGAAUAUUAGUAUCUGGGUAAAGACUACCUCUUUGUGUCAAACCUCUGGCUUCAUCACAACACCAUAAACCACCACUGGAAAAUAAAACAAUAAAGCAGAGGUGUAUGAGGGGUUUCUCAAGUAAGUUAUUUGUGUUGAGCACACGUACAGAUACUUAUUUUACUUUCUCUAUCAUAGAUCAGCUAGUGGGUAUUUUCUUUAGUUGAAAUAUUGGAAAAUAAACUCAGGCAGCCCUGAGAUCUGUCCCAGGUGGCACAGUCAGGGUGCAGGUGGCAUGUUAACCCACUGCUUCUCAUGGUGCAGAAGCCUGGGGCUAUCAAAGUGAAAGAGCAGGCUGUGUGAACGCCUCACCGUGGGUCAUUUUUUCUUGUCAAUGUAUAACCAGACUUAAAAUGUGGUUAGGCAAAUUCCUGCAUAAAAAGUCCUUCGGGGCUCUUUACAACUAGGGAUUUAGCUGGGACUGUACCACUGCCCAACUGCCCUUCGUGUCUGCAUUUUCCUAAGCUAUCAUCCUGGCCCUUCUCAGAGAUGGGGCUGUGAUGUGUCCUCCCAGUCACCUCUGCACACCUCAGUUCUCUGCCUUCCAUCUUCUCCCUGCCUCCCAUCUGGGCACUUCCACGCACUGCGCAACUGCCCUGCUAGCAAACCACUCCAGAGUGAACUUUGUCCUCCGCCACCUGGCAGCAAACCUCUGUGGCAUGAAUUGUCAUGGAUCUUCUGCUUCCAAUGGAAGGUUGACAACCUGUGAAGGAUAUGUCCCACAUUUUUUCCUGAAGGCUUUUUUGAGUUGGAAGGAUCUCUUCAGUUAUUUUUGUCAAAAUGGGAGUGCAUUUUCUCCAUUUUUUUUCUUUAUUCCAGGAAUUCAGUUCUUGUCCGUGUUGAGGAAUGAGGUCAAAGAGCUGGCUUUAUAGCAUGCUGGAGAGAAAAUAACUCCUACUUAAUAAACAAAUAAAUGAACAGUCCCCACUGCUCAGUAGGGUGUGAUACGAGUUCCAAAUUUACGCGUAAAACCUUUCAAACCAUGCAUGACUUUGCUAGCACUGUUGAAAGCGAAAAGCAGGCAUGGAAAAACCUAACUAACUGAAAAUGCAUUUGGAAAUGCUUUCUUAAGGAUAAGAAUCAUAAAAUGCAAACUGGAAUACAAACCCAAUUUCACAAUAUUACAUUGCAAAUUGUUUUGAUUUUGGAAGGAUGCAGAGUGCAGGCUAAGAUCAGCUGCCUGCAUAGGCCAUGUUAUAAUAAAUCACAUUGCAUUUUUCAUCCCCAGAACAAUCUCCAGUGAUACGGUACGUUCUUUAUUAAGAGUGUUCCGCAGCAAUCAGAGCUGAAGGGAAGGAAGGAAAUGGCUUGAAGAACAUGGCAAGAAUCCCUUAAAGUUAAGGGAGGGGAAUGGGGAAAGUUAUUUUAAAAGUACAGGUGGUUAGUGUAAAUUAUUGAGCACUUCAAAUGUUUUCCCUUGAUAAUUCUAAUCACCUUGUGAAAUCAGUCAUUCACGCUUUUGCAAAACUCUUGAUUUAUUGGGAGCUUUAAUCUAUUAGUUGCAGCUCGGGAGCCAACCGUGCAUUCAUCUCCAUGGGCAGAAAGAGCUGGGCUCAGCCCUGCAGCAGAACUCAGUGCUACAGCUGCUGAGCACGCACCACCAUGACAUGAACGGUGCCAACUCUGAGAGGGAUGCUGAUGCCUGGAGGCACCCCAGCUUGCUGCACCAGGGCUUGGGCCAUGGAGAUGUUCCCUCAGACUCCAAGGGUGUGGGGACCACGGGGCGGUGGCACGGGAAUGAAGGUGUUUUGAAGUGUACCUUGGACAUUAAGCCUCCACAUUGAAUGGGAGGGUUUUGUGCGACUCUUUUGUGCCAGAUGGGUCAGCCACAGAAUGGUGCUAUCAACAUAGGUUGGCUUAGCAAUAGGGAUCAGUGAUUUUGGAUGACACUUCACAGCUUCAGUCAUGAUUCCUUCCAGGCAGAGCCCUCCUCUUGCUGUUCUUCGGGCAUUGACUUUUUUCUACUGUAUUUGGGAAUUUCUCAUCAUCAUUAUUUAGGAAUAGCUCCAGUUUGCUGUGGAUGAUAAUGUUUGUUACCAAGGUGCUUGGGUGCAGCAGUAAGACCAACUGGUGCUAGCUCAACUCUUACAUAAUUAGCAAACACUGUCAAAUCUCAGUCAUCACAAUGAAUGCUAAGGUGAUUUAGGUAAAUGAGGGUUAAGAUAAACAGGUGAUAUUUUAGUGUUUAAUGCAUUAACAUCUUAAUAGCCAUUAAAUGAUUUGACCUCAUUUCUGCUAAGUGAGCAUUUAAUAAACAAGUUUUGACUGCAGUGACAUUGUGCAAAGGUCUCUGUGAGAACUUUGGGCAGACAGAGACCAUCUUUGUGACUGAACAACACUGUGCACAGUGGGGCGUUGCACUGGAUAUGGUAGCAGAGCGUGACAAGGUUUCACGUCUGGAGGCUGCCUAAGAGCAAGGGAGACUGAGCAGGCAUGCAGGAUCCCUGCUCCAUCUGGAUGACCUGCUGCCAGCUGCCAUAGUUAGUUGUAAAGUGUUCCUCAUCUCUUUCUUUUCUAUUUUCCCCUUUUUCUUUUAAUUUCGCCUCCCUUUUCUUCCUUUUUCUCUUCUCUUCUCUUCUCUUCUCUUCUCUUCUCUUCUCUUCUCUUCUCUUCUCUUCUCUUCUCUUCUCUUCUCUUCUCUUCUCUUCUCUUCUCUUCUCUUCUUCUCUUCUCUUUUUUUCCCCUUAUUCUUUUUUUCUUGACUUAGUUGGACUGCCUGGGGACUUGCCAGAAACUAGGGGCCAGACCUUUUUCUGGGAGUCUUGUCUUUGGCAUCAGUGGAAAAAGGAUUUGCUCUUUAAUGCUCUAUAUUAGAACUACUCAGGCUGCUUGAAUCCUAAUUCAGCUAUUAACACUAGUUUAGGUAACAAGGAUGACAGUAAGGCAGUGGGAUAGGCAGCAGGACCAGGCCCACCUCUCACCCCACUUACCCCUCCACCUGCACUAAAUUCCCCUUGUGGCAACUGUGUGGUUCAGCGCAACACAGAGACUGUCCUGAAAGCUAUUAAACAUGAGAAUGAUGCCAGCUGAGCCUGAAGAGUGGGCACUGAGCACUCCUGGGCAGCCUGCAUCCUCCUGGCCCCAGCACGUGUUGCGCAGAAGAUGCACUCCAGCACAGCUUUCAUGAGCUCUCAAAGAGGCAUCGACUUCUUUUUUUUUUGCAUCUUAGCAAUGUAGCUGCAGACGUAAAACAUAACAGACAUUUAGAAACUGUAUGACUUUCCCUAAUUGUCUGCAACAGUUUCAAGAUAAGUCAUUUUUAAAAGAAUUGCUUUGAACAGAGAUGACUUUAAAACAGACUUCCGUACUUCUUGUUUUUGCUUCUGUCUUGGCACAGAUGCUUACCCUCUCUCCUUUGUAGAGUUAAUUAUGCAAAGGCGAAGAAGCUACACUAACGUUGUAAUUUUGUUUGGCAAGGUGAGCCACAAAACAUAUGCUGUGUCAUGCCUUUUUAUUACCGUGCAAGAAUUGCCAAAGAAGCCUAAGGAGGAAUCAAGGGCAUCAUCGUUGCGAGGAAAAGAGGAAACAGCCCAGUUUUACAACACUGAGGCUUGUAACCGCUUGCGGUAGAUAGUUUCAGAACUGGUUUAAUUUUAAAUUAUUCUUUUGCCAACCGACAGCAGCUUCAGAGUGACUUUUGUUUGAUCCUACCACUUUCUGAUCCCCGUUGAGUCAUUUUACGAUGCCCUGGCAACCAAAGUCCAACCGAUGCAGGCAGCGCCACAGCAGCAACCGCUCUGUCCUCUGUGUGGGGAGAUGGCAUCACCAAAGGUGGCUCUAGCCAGAAAAGCACUGAUCUCCUGUGCCCACGCCGGCUGCUCAAUGUGCUGCUACUAUCCCAAGGGGUGUUUUCAGUUGGAAGGGAUCAAGGAACCCGUUUGGGCUUAAAAUAACUAGGCUGAAAGAUAAGAUUAUGUUCAACUUGGUCUCUUUCCAGCCAGUUUCCUGAGAAGCUGGAGAGAUACAGAAGAAAUGUGGGUUUUGGUAUAUGACAAAUCCACACUGCGACUUCUCCCCACUGCUUUUGUUGCAAUGCCUUUGAGCUCGUGCAAAACUACGGAAAAGGCCACAGAGGGGGAGCUCAGCAGAAGGAAGCCUGGUUUCUCCACCAGAGAUGGAUCAUGUUGAAACACAAGGGUAGCCUCUUCCUUAUUGGAAGCUGGGAUAUUGCCUGUGCUGUGCAGAGAGGAGCCCACAGCAGCAGCCUUUGGGCAAUGGGACACACUUCUGGAGUUGUUAUCAUCUGCCAUCAAACACAGCCCUAGGCCCGAGGAGGGGCUUUAAUGAGCAGGGAAAACACCACAGAAGAACUGGAAAUGUUCCCCCUCAGGUCAGUUUGCUCACCAUUAGUGUUUUCUUACCUCCUCUGCUGUAGGCAAAUGCAUUUUCUGUAUGUAAGAAUUUGCUGAACUGAUAACCGACUUCACAGGGAUGGGAAAGGGCAAGAAUGCUUUCAGAAAGCCUCAGGUUUCCUUAUACAUCCCUGAAAGACAGUCCUCAGUGCAGACACAGCCCCGGACAGCAAAGGCUUGCUAAUGAUGACAAUGCCUGCAAAGAGUAGAAAUGUGAUGGAGAGGUUUGUAAGAGGGGCUUUGAGAGGGAGAGCACUGCACCAGUGUUUCAGGAAUAAGAGGCAGAUCUACUCACAGACACAGGCUAAUGCUCACUGUCCCUCACAUCCUCAGAGACAUAGACUGGUUACAGCAGUCACAGUUUCGGCAGUGUCCAACACAAGCUCAGCCCCACUGCCAUGGCAGCUCCAGGACAACCAUACCUCUAGGGGCAUUGCAAAGGUACCAGCACAUCUGGCAGGCCAGCCUUCAUCCCUGUAUCUUAGGAUGGCAAUAGCGUUCAGCCCAGAUCAGCUCAUUGCUUAAGGGAAAGAAGUGCUGGAAACCACUUCUGAGCUGAGCUCAUCCCAGCAGAGCAGCAUUACCCAUAGCACUUAUCUGCGGUUAUCUGUAGUUGCAGGUGACCUGACAUGAGGCUUAGCUGCACUCACACACUUUAAAUUCGAGGCAGGCAUAAGACAUGAGAUAGGACAUGUUGCUCAUGUAGGAAAAUACCUUCAUGAAUAUUCAAGCCUGAGGACUAGCCUAACGUAGAGAGUUUUUUGGAGCAGUGUGCUGCACACGAGACAUUUAAAAUCCAGACACUCCUCUAACACUUGAAAUCCUUGUACAAGAACUGAUGCGCCCAAAAUCAGGUCUUCACAGGAGCUCCAUUUCCUCUGAGCUGUCCGUGCAACCAACAGACUUACCUUGUAUGGGUGGAAAUACUCUUGAUCUCUGGUGAUCAAAGGCCAGUCUGAAGUGCCUGUCAAAGAGCAAGCAAAACCUCAAGAAGCUGCAGGAGGUGGGGCUCACGUCUCACCAUCUACACGCUCCUUUACACCAAGCCAGUGGUAUAAAAAGUGGAUAUCCAUCCUCCUUUUGCCCCAGAAGCACAGUUUAGAGCAUACUUGGGUCUGCUGGUCACAGUGUGGGUAAUUCCUAGGGGGAUGAAGUGAUACGUGCAGAGGCACUGGCUAAGACCUAGUGGCAGAGGUGCCCCACACGGGUCCAGCUGCCCUGUAGCACCAGUGUGAUCCAGCAGUGUGGCAGGGCAGGUGCUGGGGCAGGAGCUCCUUCCAUCACGCUAAGAUGUCUCUGAGUGAGUCACUGCCCUAUCAUCUGAAAUACUGGGUCAGGUGCUGUAGUUUAAACCCCAGAUGACGGUAGGUGAGCGGAUAGGUGAGCACACCCCUUGCAGUAACAAACCCGUGGGAGGCUGGAAGGUACCUGAGGCCAGGGCAGGUGCUUGUCAAGUGAGUGUGUCAGCGCUCCAGCGCUGGUGGGAACCAUUCCUCUUGGUAUUUGCAUUGCUCUGGAAAAUGAGUUACACUGGUGCUGAAGAGCUAGAAACUUUUGCAUUGACAUAUAUCUUAAUAGCCGAUUAGACUAAAAUAGUCUUGAUGUAAGUGAGAAUUAGACAGUGGCAGUACCCAGGAUAAGACUAAUCGGGAUUAUUUGUGAAUUCCCAGUUACAUUUUUGUACAUUUCAUACAUCUGGAAGAGCCAGAAUGAUGUACCGUGUGCUUAUUCUGGCUCUAGAUGUUUUGUUGUUGUUGUCGUUUUGCUGGCAUUAAACCACCUGUUGGGAGACAGACCUUGCCUUAUCCUACAUAAAGGCAGCCAGUACAGUGCUGACUCGUCACCGAGGUUUGAACAAAUGGAAGUUUACUAUCAUACGGAUCAGCACUUUGCACCAGGAAGCCCCAGUGUUUGCUAUCCUUGGAAGCCAUAAAGCCAGGCCUUUUUCUUCCAUCAGCAGCCCACGUGUGCAGGGCUCUAACUGAAAUGGUUUAACACCGGCCCUUUUAUUACACCAGCACAACUCCUUCCCACAGGUUGGCCCUUCACUUGAUGUUACUCAUUGCUUUCUGUUUACACAUAGGAAUUUUAUGUGAUGCAUAAGCAGAUAAGUACUGCAUCUGCUCAGUCAUAUUUCCCCAACACCUCUCCCUUUGUUCUUUUUGCCUUUUAUCCUCUGGGUUUUCUUCGCCAAGGAUCCCUGCCCUCACCCAGCCACUGUCCCCUUACUUCUUUAGCUUCACUCUGCCCACCUCUGCUUCUGCAGUAGAGGAAGCUUGCUUGAUAGCAUUAGGCAAUGCCUUUACUAUUUGGUGAUGUUAAUGCUCUCGCUCUGAAUCAAUUUCCUCUUUGUUUGCCUGUGAUGGAAAGCUCCGUGAAAUCUGCAACGGUUUUGCUGAAAUGAGAAAAGGGAAGGACGAGACCUGCAGCCAGGCACUCUGCAGCCCCUCCCAGCUCUCCAGCGCUCAGGGUAGGGGCGCAGGCUGAGUCACUCAGCCCUGCACCAGCAAACACCCGUGGAGGCACAAAAGGGCUGCUGAGAGCAGGCAGCAUGCAGCCAACUUGGAUUAAAGGCCAACUCUGGGAAGAGGGGCUCGUGCCCAGCGAGCCUUGGCUCUUCUGGCUGACUCACCCCGAUUUGCCCCACUCAGACUGAGGCCAGACCAUCCUCGGGAGCUCCUGCUCCCCUGAACAGCUUUGGGGAGAGCGGAAGCAGUUGGAGGUAGGCUGGAGAGCCCUGCUCCUGCCUCCUCGCUGGAAACUGCUUUCUUGCUUGCUCACGUGCACACUUGGGUAGUGCACUUGCAAAGACUAUAGGCAUGAAUAUUUACAUUCCCUUGCCAUGGACAUGAAGCUGAAUUCCACCCUCCGGUUGCAGGGUGAAUCAGGUCAGAAACACUGUUUCAGAGAACAGAAAUGCAGAGGUACGGCCAACCAGAUGGGGUGCUGGGCUGCCAUGCAGCUGCACAACCUUUCUAGCAAUUAAUCCACCGGAAAGUGAGGGAGAGAUCGCAGGCUCAGUGCUAACCAGGGGUUUUGGCUCUUUGCUUGGAGGGCUCGCCUGGCAAAGCUGCUCCCUGAGGUCAGCAAGUCUACUGAGCAGAUACCCCAGCACCCUGUGGCGAAGCUCCUCUGCUGGGGGAACACGGCUCGCUUCUGUGAACUACUGCUGGGAAUGCAUGCUAGGAGCACACAGCAGGAAGGAAUGACACAGCUGUACCUUCACACCUUCCAGCACUUUCUUAGAAAAGGGCAGAGCGGUGUGUUUAAAUUCCCUUUUCUUCUUCCCUUGUUCGGCUAGACAAGUCCCAGGCCCUAGCUGGAUGGCACCAACUGGACUGUAUGUCUGGGCACUGCGUCCCACUCAUUUUUAAGGAAAAUUAAGCCCCACCCCGGAGAGUCUGCUCACAGCUCAGGCAGUUCUCUGCUGGACUGGGCUGCCUGGAGCCCGUGUUCUCCACAUCUGAAACCAGACGACCCCAGGAGCAAAGCUCCACGUUUCCAGUCACUGGUUCACAGCCUCUGGCAGUUCCUGCAGGAUGGCUGAAAACAGUGCCAUGGGGCUGGCAGCUUGCCCCCACAGCCAGUGCAUCCCAACCACACCUGCCUUGGACCUGGAGAAGGAAUCCUAUAAUCCCUGUGUGGUCCUUCAGCAUUACCCAGCAUCUCCAUCCCAAACAUUGCGUCUUCCUUCUCCUUCCUGCUCCAUAAUGCAACCACUUAUAUGGAAAAUGAAUCAGCCCUCCUUGGGCAUCUUUCCAAAUGCCCCUCUGACUAAUUCUGCCCAAAACAGCCAGGCUGACCCUGUGCAAUGGCGUGAUCAUGGCAGACAGGACUGGGUCACGUUUGGGUGGAGGAAGGGAAAAACUGUUUUGCAGGCCUGCCCAAAAAUCCUCAUGUUGACUCUGCCAAAACCACACCAAACAUAUGGUAAAUGAAAUAGCUGGCAUGGAGCUGCUUUGGACGGCAGGAGUGUUUCAGCACUGUGGACUGCUCUUUAGCUGUCUUGAAUGUUAUUUACACUGUUUUAAGUAUCUCCACAUUUAAGGGAGAGAAGGCAAAGAAGAGGGCGAUGCCAAUUUUUUUGUGCAUUUGAUGCUUUUUACAUGCACGUUAUUUUUAUAGCCAUGUUAGCACGGUCCCAAUGCUUGCCCUGUCCUGUGGCUGAGAACAGUAACAGCAUUGCAGAAGGUUUCCUCCCCUCUUCGUGUAGCAACAGACUUCGGUGGAAAAGCACACAGAAGCAUUUUCUCUCUCAAAACAGGAGCUGUGCCUAAUUCACCAUAUAAAUGUCCUGCACAUUUCAUGGAGCUGAUGAAAUCAUGUACAGAUGGAAUGCCUCUUAACAAAGGCUUUAUUCACAGGGCAGGUUUCUCUGCCAUGUAUCUUUGACUGUAUUCCAGCUUAUACAGCUAUUCCCAGUGAAUACAUCCAUGGAGCCAGACCAUUUUCUGGGCAGAUACCAAAGGUGGAUGUGCUCAGCUCCCAACACCGCACUGUGGCUUCACUACAAGUCUGAGGCUGGAAGUCAUGCCAAUGAGCAUUCCUUUCCUCACUCUGUAUUGUUCACCUGGACUCAAGCACCCAGUGCCAUUUCCAGGGUUUGUCAGGUACUUUGGAAGAAACACCGCAGGACAACAGAACCUGAGAAAGAGCAUCCAGAGAAGCCAGAGGUCUUCAGUCAUUUGGGAGACGGCCAUAGGAAUGGAGUUGUGGUGGCUACAGCUACAAAAGAUGGAUGAAAAUAAAGCAGCCAAAUGGUGAUGAUCAUGAAAAAAAAAUAAAAAAUAAAAAGUGACUGUUCUUGAGAUCGAGGUAUAGAUUUUUUUUCUUGGAGCUACAGUGGCAGAGUGCCAGCAGGAGAGCUCACCUCCUCACAUAGCAGCUGGCGGGCUGCUGGGCAGCUCUCCACCACCGUUUGCAUGUUUUAACCCUUCCCCAGCCCCAACUCAACCUGUAGCUUCUCCCAUUUGUCCAUAAGCCAUGGCGUCCUGACACUAUUGCACUCUUGAGGGUCCUGUGUAAAAGCAGGCAGGGGCUGCUGGCCUGCUCGCAUGCACACCUUCCCAGUGCUGAAAACUCAACUCCCAAAUCCCCUGUUCAUCCAACAACCUCAUCAUCUAGACAAGGAAAACAGCAGGCUGAUCUAUGCUGCAGAGCAAACUUCCUGGCACAGUCCAGUGGUAUUCGUCCAUGAACCCUUCUCUCUGCCUUUCUUUUUUGCCCUUUGUUCAGCGCUCAGUCAGUAACUCCUUAGAAACAACUCGCUAACUGCCCACGCUCAAAACAAGAACAGCAACAACAAAAGGAAUGAUAUAGAGGGAUGACUUCAUCGAGUUUGGAAAUAUCUUCUCAAAUGAAACAUUCCUUUACUCACAUACACAAGAAAGUAUCAAAAUUCUCUGCAGCUGAUGUAAACAGCAGAAAGAAAAAGUCAUCUGGAAGGACAGGAUGAUUCAUACCAAGGACCUGACUGGCAAUAUUCAUCAGUGUUGAAAUCCUCUCUGCAAGAUGACUACAUGCGAAAGCAAAACCAACGAGAUCCCAGCUUUUGCCAUGAGAAGCGUCAUUAACGGCAGAGCAGCGUGGUUAGGCUCCUAAUGCCACAACCCUUGCUCAUGGGAGUAACCCUUGCUCACUCAUCUGACCGGUCGCAGCAAAAAGCCCUGUGUCACCCAGGUGAGAAUGCUUUACAUAAGGGCAGCCACAGCAGCAGGCUGGAGCAGGCUCAGCUGUUGCAGCCUAUUUUGCAGAAGGGGCUUUGGAGCAGGAACAGAAAGUUCAAUAGCAAAAGAGAAGGGUUUUUCUCCAUCUUGCCAAAACUCCUUGCUAGGGUUUCCUCGCAGAAAUCCCUGAUUUGAGCACUUUGGGGAGACUGGAAAGUUCAGCCAAUCUUUCCCUUUAUGUUAAUUGUGUUGAUCCAAAUGGUAACAGGGCACAAAAGGCCGCGUUGACUUUAUGCACUGUUAUGAGAUACUUUCCCCUGCAUAUCUGAAUCUGUUUACUUAAUCUUCCAGGCCUUUACCCAUGAAUAUUAAACUCCUUGAUCACUAUGCAUUAGGAGUCAUCUUUGCACCAUCUGUUUGUAUUUGUCAUCUAACCCUUGUAAAUAAUAAAAUGUACUUUGUUCUCAAGUUCGUGGAUCCUAGCAGGAGAGUGAUUACCACGGAGGAAAAGUACUGUGUGAAGCUAUUAGCAGCCACAGGACUCUCCUUUAGCUCCCUGUCUCCUGUCUGCCCUCUGUGAGACAAAUGUACCAAGUCACAGGUUCCCUAUUGUUCUCCAUAUCAUUCUAUUUCUGCUGCCAACGCAUUCACCACUAUUACGGUCAUUAAACUAAAGCCGAAAACCUACCCCAAAGAGUGACUGUUAGCCUCCUUAGUCUCCUUGUAGUCCCAGAAGAGAUGAUUUCGGGUUCACAUCUCUGAAUACGAUGCAGAAAGUCUUGCUUAUGCAUGUAAAAUGAGCUAAUAGCAGAAGAGAAGGUGAGUUGCAUUCCUGGAUGCCAGUAUUCAGCUGAGAGGUUCAACUGGGAGGUACAGCUCACAAGACGCCAAGCAAACACCAAGGGAAAAAUGCAGAAAGUGCAGUCUCUAGAAUAUAAAAUUAAUCCUUGGAGUUCUGGCUUAAAAUGUUAUGCAGCAGGAAGAGCCUUGCCACAUAUUACUGAGGUUCAGCUUCAACUUCACCAACUGAGACAAGGAGGUUUCACCUGGGAGAGAGGCCCAUAGCUGCAGGUGCUCAUGGGAAGCCACGGCCGCUGGCGGGCACACCUCACACACCAGGAUCUCCCUGCAGCCAGCAGGAGACGUGCCUGGCAGCAGGCUUAUGUCCAUUCACAUCACCCAGUGAGUUGCCUCUCCAUGCUCUUAUAAGUGAACCUGGAUGUCGGGCAACUAUCACCAGUUCUCAGGCAGCUGCAGUCUAUUUAAAACCUAAUGGAGCUGAUUAGAGAAGGGAUCAUUUAGGAGAUGAUAUGGGAUCGUAUUGUAUCUAUCUGAUGUGGUGGUAGCACCAAAUUUAGACAAGAAAAUUGUUGCCAAGUAUUUGCUUAACUGGAAGAGCUGUCUGGGCUCGGACAAGAUACCACUCGCCUCUCUGCUCAGCCUUGCAAACAUCCUACACUAGGAGGUUACCUAUUAAGUGAUACACAAUAGAUCUUUUUAAUUGUUAGAGCGUUACGACCUUAGACUUUGCCCAGGUAUUUAAUAACACCAUCUGCUGUCUAGCUCUGCAAUACUAUUAUUUUUACAUGAGGAUUACUCUUCCUGCUUCACAAACAGCGCUGUAAUAACAGAGCUAAAUAAGAGCACAGCAGCGUGGUACUUACACCCUACUGUCCAAGUAAAACACACAGGAGGUGCAGCUCACCCCAAAUUUCCAGACGCAUUGUCUCCAACCUGGAAGUCUUGAAGUGCUGCAGGCGGAGGAGCUGUGGAUCCAGUCUUGUGGGUUGCACUCAGGAAAAGCUCUCGCCUUGCCUGAGAAAGGGCCAGGAGCAAAAUCCAUCCCUGUGUAGGCUGUCUGCUCCUUGGCUGGCUCUGCUUUUCCCAUUUGCUUCCCCAGAACAACAGCAAUGGUCUGCUGGCCAUGAGCUAGGAGUCACUGUGCCUUCAGGCUUUUUUCUCAUUAAUAACACACUCUUGCAGCACACGCAUUUAGCUCCAAACAGUCAUAUUUAUCUGGUUUUAUAUCUGUAUCUAUAAAGGGUCCAAGGCAAACAGAGAUGUGACCUUUGGCACUUUCAGCUGAAAUGCCUCUGUACCAAUGCACACAUCAUGGGAAGUAAGCAGGAGGAAUUGGAAACUGUGGUGCAAUUGGAAAACUACAAUCUUAUUGCUAUCAUGGAAACACGGUGGGAUGACUCACAAGAGGAAUACCAUGAUUGAGGGCUGUAAACUUUUUAGAAGGGAUAGGCAAAUUGGAGAGGUGGGGGAGUGGCCCUCUUCUUGUUAAGAAGUGGAUAAUCUGCUGAGAGCUGCCCCUGAGAAACAGUCAGGAACAGGUUAAGAGCUUGUGGGUUAAGAUUAGGGACAGGGCCAGUAAAGGGCAUCUGGUGGUCAGGG